rnacentral:rRNA from 1 species
CAGCAGCCGCGGUAAUACGUAGGUGGCAAGCGUUGUCCGGAAUCAUUGGGCGUAAAGGGCUCGCAGGCGGUUUCUUAAGUCUGAUGUGAAAGCCCCCGGCUCAACCGGGGAGGGUCAUUGGAAACUGGGAAACUUGGGUGCAGAAGAGGAGAGUGAAAUUCCACGUGUAGCGGUGAAAUGCGUAGAGAUGUGGAGGAACACCAGUGGCGAAGGCGACUCUCUGGUCUGUAACUGACGCUGAGGAGCGAAAGCGUGGGGAGCGAACAGGAUUAGAUACCCGUGUAGUCCCUGUCUCUUAUAA